rnacentral:rRNA from 1 species
UGGGGAAUAUUGCGCAAUGGGGGAAACCCUGACGCAGCGACGCCGCGUGGGCGAUGAAGGCCUUCGGGUCGUAAAGCCCUGUCGAGCGGGACGAACCGUGCGAGCUCUAACAUAGCUCGUGCCUGACGGUACCGCUUGAGGAAGCCCCGGCUAACUCCGUGCCAGCAGCCGCGGUAAUACGGAGGGGGCUAGCGUUAUUCGGAAUUAUUGGGCGUAAAGGGCGUGUAGGCGGCUUCGUAAGUCUCGUGUGAAAGCCCUCGGCUCAACCGAGGAAUUGCACGAGAAACUGCGUGGCUCGAGUCCGGGAGAGGAUAGUGGAAUUCCCAGUGUAGCGGUGAAAUGCGUAGAUAUUGGGAGGAACACCGGUGGCGAAGGCGGCUAUCUGGACCGGUACUGACGCUGAGACGCGAAAGCCAGGGGAGCAAACGGGAUUAGAUACCCGCGUAGUCC